CUCUCACCACCACCACCACCACCCACCUCCCCCCCCACCCCGACACAAUCUCCGGCCUACCGUUUCGGCCAGCCCAGCGCCGAGCCUCGGCUUCGUCUUACAAAUUUAGACCCGGAUCUGUGCGCACUGCCACCACCAUUACAGGUCUCGGGCCUACUAUUCAAAGGAGUUACCCCUCUGGAUCGAAACAAGCAGAUUGACUGCUCUCCGGCCUUAAUUAUGUGACCUUGACUACACGGCUCUCACUGCAAACAUCCACCUUACACUCAGUUCAAUGAAUGUUCUCGACAAGCAAGACUAUGAGCUCCCAACAGUUAUGACAGCCUUAUCUGUACUGAGGCAUUGUGUCAUCAAGCCAGCUUAGGUCAUGUUUUGAGAAGAUGCAUUCCAUUGCCUUCCGUACCCAUACUAAUGCCAGGAG